UGCAAGUCGAACGAAUCCCAGGGGGGUAACUCCCUGGGGGAAGUGGCGAAAGGGGCAGUAAGGCGUGGGUAACCUACCCUGGGGACUGGGAUAGCCCUCCUAACGGAGGGGUAAUACCGGGCGACGUAGUGGAGGGGCAUCUCUCUGCUACCAAAUGAGUUUCGCCCUGGGAGGGGCCCACGUGGUAUUAGCUCGUUGGUGGGGUAACGGCCCACCAAGGCCAAGAUGCCUAGCAGGUGUGAGAGCACGACCUGCGCCACUGGCACUGUGACACUGGCCAGACUCCUACGGGAGGCUGCAGUCGAGGAUCUUCGGCAAUGGGCGCAAGCCUGACCGAGCGACGCCNCGUGUGCGAUGAAGGCCUUCGGGUUGUAAAGCACUGUCGAGGGGGAGGAAAGCCGCAAGGCCUGACCUAUCCCUGGAGGAAGCACGGGCUAAGUUCGUGCCAGCAGCCGCGGUAAGACGAACCGUGCGAACGUUGUUCGGAAUCACUGGGCUUAAAGGGCGCGUAGGCGGGCCCGCCAGUCUGUGGUGAAAGCCCCCGGCUCAACCGGGGAAGUGCCGUGGAUACUGCGGGUCUCGAGGGAGGUAGGGGCGUGUGGAACUUCCGGUGGAGCGGUGAAAUGCGUAGAUUUCGGAAGGAACGCCGGUGGCGAAAGCGACGCGCUGGACCUCUACUGACGCUGAGGCGCGAAAGCCAGGGGAGCAAACGGGAUUAGAUACCCCGGUAGUCCUGGCCCUAAACGAUGGGUACUAGGUUGUGGACUGGACAUGGGUUCACAGCC
rnacentral:rRNA from 1 species